GGCCAGCCCCCCGACCUGGCGCUGCUCCACGCGGGUGCUGCCGUCCAGCCGCAGGUAGAUGCAAUGGGGCCAGUGGGGCCACUAAUAGGGUCAGUGGGGCCAGUAAUAGGGUCAGUGGAGUCAAGGGGGUCAAUGUGGUCAAUGGGGCCAGUAAUAGGGUCAAUAGGGUCAGUAAUAGGGUCAAUGGGGUCAAUGGGGUCAAUGUGGUCAAUGGGGCCAGGAAUAGGGUCAAUAGGGUCAGUAAUAGGGUCAAGGGGGUCAAUGGGGCCAGUAAUAGGGUCAAUAGUCAGAAAUAGGGUCCGUGGGGUCAAAGGGGACAAUGGGGUCGAUGUGGUCAAUGGGGCCAGGAAUAGGGUCAAUAGGGUCAGUAAUAGGGUCAAUGGGGUCAACGUGAUCAACGAGGUCAAUGGGGCCAGGAAUAGGGUCAAUAGGGUCAGUAAUAGGGUCAAUGGGGUCAAUGGGGUCAACGGGGUCAACGCGAUCAACAAGGUCAAUGGGGCCAGGAAUAGAGUCAAUGGGGUCAGUAAUAGGGUCAAUGGGGUCAAUGUGGUCAACGGGGUCAACGGGGUCAACGCGAUCAACGAGGUCAACGGGGCCAGGAAUAGGGUCGGCAACGGAGUCAACGGGGUCGGCUAUGGGGUCAGUUGUGGGGUCGGCUAUGGGGCCAGCCCCCCGACCUGGCGCUGCUCCACGCGGGUGCUGCCGUCCAGCCGCAGGUAGAUGUGGCCGUGGUAGGUGAGGAAACGCUCCAGGACGUCCAACAUCCGGGUCAUCUGGGUGAAGAUGAGCACGCGGUGCGAGCCGGCCUUCAGCCGCCGCAGCAGAACGUCCAGGGUCUGCAGCUUCCCUGUUGGGGGGCAAAGAGGGGGGUUAUGGGGUCGGCUAUGGGGUCGUUGGGGUCAAUGGGAGCAUUGGGUUCAGCAACGGGGGCAGUAAUGGGGUCAUUGGGGUCAAUGGGGGUCUUCAAAUGGGGUCAAUGGGGUCAAUGGGGUCACCAAUAGAGACAAUGGGGGCAAUGGGGUCAAUGGGGUCUUCAAAUGAGGUCAAUGGGGGCAAUGGGGUCACCAAUAGAGGCAAUGGGGUCAGUGGGGUCAGCAAUAGGGCCAAUGGGGUGGAUGUGGUCAGCAAUGGAGUCAAUGGGGGCAGCAAUGGGUCUGGGUCUGCAGCUUCCGUGUUGGGGGGCAAUGGGGGCGGUUAUGGGGUCGGCUAUGGGGUCGUUGGGGUCAUCAGGGUCA
ensembl:lncRNA